ACACUCCUGCGGGAGGCAGCAGUGGGGAAUUUUGGACAAUGGGCGAAAGCCUGAUCCAGCAAUGCCGCGUGAGUGAAGAAGGCCUUCGGGUUGUAAAGCUCUUUUGUCAGGGAAGAAACGGUGAGAGCUAAUAUCUUUUGCUAAUGACGGUACCUGAAGAAUAAGCACCGGCUAACUACGUGCCAGCAGCCGCGGUAAUACGUAGGGUGCAAGCGUUAAUCGGAAUUACUGGGCGUAAAGCGUGCGCAGGCGGUUUUGUAAGUCUGAUGUGAAAUCCCCGGGCUCAACCUGGGAAUUGCAUUGGAGACUGCAAGGCUAGAAUCUGGCAGAGGGGGGUAGAAUUCCACGUGUAGCAGUGAAAUGCGUAGAUAUGUGGAGGAACACCGAUGGCGAAGGCAGCCCCCUGGGUCAAGAUUGACGCUCAUGCACGAAAGCGUGGGGAGCAAACAGGAUUAGAUACCCCAGUAGUCCCAUG
rnacentral:rRNA from 1 species